UGUGUGAGGACUGCCUGAGCUUUGGGUU
rnacentral:piRNA from 1 species